rnacentral:rRNA from 1 species
CAGUAGCCGCGGUAAUACGAAGGGGGCUAGCGUUGUUCGGAUUUACUGGGCGUAAAGCGCACGUAGGCGGAUCGAUCAGUCAGGGGUGAAAUCCCAGAGCUCAACUCUGGAACUGCCUUUGAUACUGGGUAUCUUGAGUAUGGAAGAGGUGAGUGGAAUUCCGAGUGUAGAGGUGAAAUUCGUAGAUAUUCGGAGGAACACCAGUGGCGAAGGCGGCUCACUGGUCCAUUACUGAUGCUGAGGUGCGAAAGCGUGGGGAGCAAACAGGAUUAGAUACCCCAGUAGUCCCUGUUUCUUAUAC